CCUGCAACUUCCUAGAGUAAAAUGAUGGUGAAUGACCAUAACUAUCAAAAAAUUCAGCUUUAUGUGCUGACGGUAGAUAAAUCGACAGCCAAUGACUCCCAGGCUGCUUUCUGUCAUCGGUAUUCAAUGUAAACGCAAUUGGGAAGAAUGGAAUUUUUUUAGGUAUUUCAUCGGCAGCAAAUAUUCCAAUCACCUGCUGUGAUAAAACUUGGUCACAUCCAAU
rnacentral:lncRNA from 1 species